UAGGAAGUAACUGGUCAUUUUCCUGAGAUUUAGACUUAUCUCAGAGGUUUUCUAACACCUGAUGAAAGUUCUUACUUAAUUCAUCAUAUCCAUUCAUUUAACAAGGCUUAUUGUAUCAUUUGGUUUUGUACCUUCGGUAAGAGUUCUGUUAGGGACAGAAGGAAGGAGAUGCUGUCCUUGGAUUCAAGGGACUUAGCACAGGUGGAAAGGAUCAGACAAGGAACCAAAAUAACUCUAAGGCAGGAAAGAAAAUAAUGAUUUCUAGCAUUUGGAGAGGGUCGACUGACUAUAUGAUUUUGGAACCUAGUCAAGGAGCUUCCUAAGUUUAAGAGAUGUGAUGUCUAAAGAUUCAGAAGACAUCUUGCAACAAUGAAGCAACCAGCAUGAAAAUGGUUGACAGAGAAAAAGGAAAGAAAGAUUUGGGUCAUUGAUCGUUGAGUUUCCAAAUUGCCUGUGAGACCUUUUAUUAAAGACAUAAUAAACAUUUUUACUCCACUGUUGGACAGGCUUCCCAGACUUACAGAGGAAUGAAAUGCUAACUAAUGUCCAGUCAAUCUUCAAUGAAUGAGAGCUCCUAUAAGCCCUUGGAGGCUUAUUCCAUAAUCUGUCUCUUAUUGCGCAUCUGCUUUCUCACUCAGAUGACCUUGAAAGUUCAGCCUCUUUAUCACGAUGUUUGCCAGACAUAGCUGUACAUUGUCACUGUGUAUCUGAACCCCAAUGAUUCUGCAUUUUGGUUCAGUUAAGAGAUGUUUUGUUUUGCCUGUUACCAGAGAAAUCAACCUUUGAAUCAUGUGAAGUCCUUGGCCUGGAUCAGAAGCUGCAUGUAUAUUGUUCCUUUCCUCCUGUCUGCCCUGCUCAAACCAUACUUAUAAAGUAUUAUCAUCAA